rnacentral:rRNA from 1 species
GACGAACGCUGGCGGCGUGCCUAAUACAUGCAAGUCGAGCGGACGAAUCAAAAGCUUGCUUUUGAUUCGUUAGCGGCGGACGGGUGAGUAACACGUGGGCAACCUGCCCUGUAGACGGGGAUAACACCGAGAAAUCGGUGCUAAUACCGGAUAACACGAAAUGUCGCAUGACGUUUCGUUGAAAGACGGCGCAAGCUGUCGCUACAGGAUGGGCCCGCGGCGCAUUAGCUAGUUGGUGAGGUAACGGCUCACCAAGGCGACGAUGCGUAGCCGACCUGAGAGGGUGAUCGGCCACACUGGGACUGAGACACGGCCCAGACUCCUACGGGAGGCAGCAGUAGGAAAUCUUCCGCAAUGGACGAAAGUCUGACGGAGCAACGCCGCGUGAGCGAAGAAGGCCUUCGGGUCGUAAAGCUCUGUUGUUAGGGAAGAACAAGUAACGCAGUAACUGGCGUUACCGUGACGGUACCUAACGAGAAAGCCACGGCUAACUACGUGCCAGCCGCCGCCGUAA